UACGUAGGGGGCGAGCGUUGUCCGAAGUUACUGGGCGUAAAGCGCGCGUAGGCGGUCCUUUAAGUCCGGGGUGAAAGGUUCAGCGCUCAACGUGAACAGUGCCCUGGAGACUGGGGGACUUGAGUGUGGGAGGGGGCAGUGGAAUUCCUGGUGUAGCGGUGAAAUGCGUAGAUAUCAGGAGGAACACCGAUGGCGAAGGCAGCUGCCCGGCCUGACACUGACGCUGAGGUGCGAAAGCGUGGGGAGCGAACAGG
rnacentral:rRNA from 1 species